AGCUUUGCGCAGUGGCAGUAUCGUAGCCAACGAGGUUUAUCCGAGGCGCGAUUAUUGCUAUUCAGGCAGGUGAGAAAGGGAGAGCCGUUACUGUGGACUGAAUUAAGUCUCUUCCCCUUAACCCUCCAUGUGACUGGAUUUGGAGACAGAGCCUUUAUUAAGGAGAAAAUUAAGGUAUAUGAGCUCAU
rnacentral:snRNA from 1 species